UACAGAGGGGGCAAGCGUUGUUCGGAAUUACUGGGCUUAAAGGGCGCGUAGGCGGCCUUCUAAGUCAGACGUGAAAUCCCUCGGCUCAACCGGGGAACUGCGUCUGAGACUGGAAGGCUUGAAUCCGGGAGAGGGAUGUGGAAUUCCAGGUGUAGCGGUGAAAUGCGUAGAUAUCUGGAGGAACACCGGUGGCGAAGGCGGUUCUCUGGGCCGUACCUGACACUGAGGAGCGAAAGCGUGGGGAGCGAACAGG
rnacentral:rRNA from 1 species